rnacentral:rRNA from 1 species
GAUGAACGCUGGCGGCGUGCCUAAUACAUGCAAGUCGAGCGAACGGACGAGAAGCUUGCUUCUCUGAUGUUAGCGGCGGACGGGUGAGUAACACGUGGAUAACCUACCUAUAAGACUGGGAUAACUUCGGGAAACCGGAGCUAAUACCGGAUAAUAUUUUGAACCGCAUGGUUCAAAAGUGAAAGACGGUCUUGCUGUCACUUAUAGAUGGAUCCGCGCUGCAUUAGCUAGUUGGUAAGGUAACGGCUUACCAAGGCAACGAUGCAUAGCCGACCUGAGAGGGUGAUCGGCCACACUGGAACUGAGACACGGUCCAGACUCCUACGGGAGGCAGCAGUAGGGAAUCUUCCGCCAAGGGCGAAAGCCUGACGGAGCAACGCCGCGUGAGUGAUGAAGGUCUUCGGAUCGUAAAACUCUGUUAUUAGGGAAGAACAUAUGUGUAAGUAACUGUGCACAUCUUGACGGUACCUAAUCAGAAAGCCACGGCUAACUACGUG